UGUUCUCAGGGCGGGGUGAAAUUCCCCACCGGCGGUAAGCGCUCUCGGCCGAGCGCGCGAGCCCGCGAGCGCCUUCUGCAAAAGGCGUAAUCCGGAGAAUCCCGUUCCCCGGAUCGCGCCAAGAGCAGAAGGGUCAGCAGAUUCGGUGCGAUUCCGAAGCCGACGGUCACAGUCCGGAUGAAAGAGAACG
rnacentral:ncRNA from 1 species